rnacentral:rRNA from 1 species
CAGAGACCUCAAGCGUUAUCCGGAAUCAUUGGGCGUAAAGCGUGCCGAUAGGUGGUUGAAAUAGUCUUGGGUAAAAGCCAGAAGCUCAACUUCUGAGUUUGCUUAAGAUACUUUUCGACUAGAGGGGCAAAGAGGUGCUUGGAACGAAUGGUGUAGUAGUGAAAUGCGUUGAUAUCAUUCGGAACACCGAAAGCGAAGGCAGAGCACUGGGUGCCACCUGACACUGCUAGGACGAAAGCGUGGGGAGCGAAUGGGAUUAGAUACCCCAGUAGUCCACGCUGUAAACGAUGAAUACUAGGCAUGCGCGAGUAUAGACCCUCGUGCGAGCCGUAGCUAACGCGUUAAGUAUUCCGCCUGGGGAGUACGGUCGCAAGACUA